UACGGGGGGGGCAAGCGUUGUUCGGAAUUACUGGGCGUAAAGGGCGCGUAGGCGGUCUGGUCAAGUCUUGGGUGAAAUUCCAGAGCUUAACUCUGGACUGUCCCGAGAUACUGGCCGGCUAGAGUGUGGAAGAGGAUGUCGGAAUUCCCGGUGUAGCGGUGAAAUGCGUAGAUAUCUGGAGGAACACCGGUGGCGAAGGCGGCAUCCUGGACCGGCAUUGACGCUGAGGCGCGAAAGCUAGGGGAGCAAACGGG
rnacentral:rRNA from 1 species